AUUAGAGUUUGAUCCUGGCUCAGAUUGAACGCUGGCGGCAGGCCUAACACAUGCAAGUCGAGCGGUAGAGAGAAAGUUGCUUCGCUUGAGAGCGGCGGACGGGUGAGUAAUGCCUAGGAAUCUGCCUGGUAGUGGGGGAUAACGUUCGGAAACGGACGCUAAUACCGCAUACGUCCUACGGGGAGAAAGCAGGGGACCUUCGGGCCUUGCGCUAUCAGAUGAGCCUAGGUCGGAUUAGCUAGUUGGGUGAGGUAAUGGCUCACCAAGGCGACGAUCCGUAACUGGUCUGAGAGGAUGAUCAGUCACACUGGAACUGAGACACGGUCCAGACUCCUACGGGGAGGCAGCAGUGGGGAAUAUUGGACAAUGGGCGAAAGCCUGAUCCAGCCAUGCCGCGUGUGUGAAGAAGGUCUUCGGAUUGUAGCACUUUAAGUUGGGAGGAAGGGCAGUUACCUAAUACGUGAUUGUUUUGACGUU
rnacentral:rRNA from 1 species